AUUGAACGCUGGCGGCAGGCUUAACACAUGCAAGUCGAGCGGAGUGAUGGUGCUUGCACUAUCACUUAGCGGCGGACGGGUGAGUAAUGCUUAGGAAUCUGCCUAUUAGUGGGGGACAACAUCUCGAAAGGGAUGCUAAUACCGCAUACGUCCUACGGGAGAAAGCAGGGGAUCACUUGUGACCUUGCGCUAAUAGAUGAGCCUAAGUCGGAUUAGCUAGUUGGUGGGGUAAAGGCCUACCAAGGCGACGAUCUGUAGCGGGUCUGAGAGGAUGGUCCGCCACACUGGGACUGAGACACGGCCCAGACUCCUACGGGAGGUAGCAGUGGGGAAUAUUGGACAAUGGGGGGAACCCUGAUCCAGCCAUGCCGCGUGUGUGAAGAAGGCCUUAUGGUUGUAAAGCACUUUAAGCGAGGAGGAGGCUCUUCUGGUUAAUACCCAGGAUGAGUGGACGUUACUCGCAGAAUAAGCACCGGCUAACUCUGUGCCAGCCGCCGCGGUAAUAC
rnacentral:rRNA from 1 species